rnacentral:lncRNA from 1 species
AAGAGUUUAUCAUGAGAUCACAAACAUUUUCUUCCACUGGACCAUAUUUCUCCUAUGUUGAUAAGUAACACAAUCUCAGUACAACACCAAUACAAACAAACUGCUGCAAGCUCCAAAGAGAAGAUGCAGUGAUAAUAGCUUCGAGCAUCGCCCAACAAAUCAAGGCACAAGCUCUGGAUUUAUCAACACAGUGCAUGAUAAUCUAAGCAAAGAUGUCUUUUUUGGAGCAACCAACAACAAAGAUUGGUAGGCUUCGCUUAUGUUGGAAUGCCGUGAUAGUUCGACGGGUUGGCGAUUCGAACAAAGACAAUGUUGCAGAAUGAACUCUUACAAU